AUUGAACGCUGGCGGCAGGCCUAACACAUGCAAGUCGAACGAGUGGCGGACGGGUGAGUAAUGUCUGGGAAACUGCCCGAUGGAGGGGGUUAACUACUGGAAACGGUAGCUAAUACCGCAUACCAUCGGAUGUGCCCAGAUGGGAUUAGCUAGGAGGGGGGGUAACGGCUCACCUAGGCGACGAGCCCUAGCUGGUCUGAGAGGAUGACCAGCCACACGGGAACUGAGACACUGUCCAGACUCCUACGGGAGGCAGCAGUGGGGAAUAUUUCACAAUGGGCGCAAGCCUGACGCAGCCAUGCCGCGUGUAUGAAGAAGGCCUUAGGGUUGUAAAGUACGUUCAGCGGGGAGGCGUUACCCGCAGAAGAAGCACCGGCUAACUCCGUGCCAGCAGCCGCGGUAAUUC
rnacentral:rRNA from 1 species